rnacentral:rRNA from 1 species
AUGGCGGCGCCCGCGCUCCUAUCCGCACCGCCCCCUCCCCCACCAAUGGAAGAGGAUGGUCUCACCUCCCACGUCGCACCAACCCCCACCCCACCCCCGUCGAAGCGCGGUUUCUUGCGUGGGCGGCCGCCCAUCAGGGUGACAUCGGAGUUCGACAGCGAGCGCCAGCUCUUUUCCCACCGCAUCUCCUGCCGCGUCCUCAACGGCCUUGCCAAGCUCCGUCUCCGAGUUCACCACGGGGCCGCGGGAGGGGCCCCGACUCCCGAGGUGGCGCUCAUGGGGCGGAACUUCUCCGCCGUCGUCGACACCGCCUCCCGCGGCGCCGUGCUGCGAGGAACGGCCGACCUUGCCGGAUCGCUCCACCUUAGUGCGGCGCACAACACGAAGAAUUACCAGAAUGGAGAGCAAUCUUACAUUCAUAUUGGCUGUUCGACACACUGUUUGUCCAUCUCUUGUGACCAUGAAUAUGAUGAUUCCACUGUUUCUUGCAUUCACAUGGAUAGAUACUUCCAGUUGAAGUACAACAGUAGAAAGGAGGGACAAGGAGAAGUGGCAGUAACUACUAAUUUGGGAGAUUCACCAUGCAAAAUUGAGUUAUCAUCGCUGGUUCCUCCUGAUGGAUUGCCAAGAGCAACCUUCUUGUUUCCUAACGGGGAAGUUUCAGUUAAGGAGAAGAAGUUGGAUGAGGGUGAGAAAAUUUUGUCAGUAAAUGGUAUAGUGAAGUCUCAUAUUCUGAAUGGAGUUUGCACUGCAUUGUACAAUGAUAAUAUGAUGAAUAUCAAGUAUCGCUAUAAGGAUGAUGAGCUAUCAUUUAUUCCCAGCCUCACUUUACCAUCAAAUUCACUAUCAUUUGCAUUUAAACGCCAGUUAACUCCUUCAGACAAGUUCAGUUACCGGUACCAUUUUGACACGAACUACUGGAGUGCUGUCUAUAAACAGAAGGCCAGUAAGCAUGUCAAAUGGAAAGCAGGUUAUGGGUCGGACGAAAGGCUUGGCUGGGCAUCUGUUUGGGUUGGCGACGCAGGCGGCAAGACAAAGGAGGCCCCCCUGAAGACAAAAGUCCAACUCAUGAUAAAAGUCCCUCAGAACAAUAUACGGAAUUCAACUGUAGUGUUCCGGGUGAAGAAAAGAUGGGAUUUUUAG